AGACCCGAAACCCGGUGAUCUAGCCAUGGGCAGGUUGAAGGUUGGGUAACACUAACUGGAGGACCGAACCGACUAAUGUUGAAAAAUUAGCGGAUGACCUGUGGCUGGGGGUGAAAGGCCAAUCAAACCGGGAGAUAGCUGGUUCUCCCCGAAAGCUAUUUAGGUAGCGCCUCGUGAAUUCAUCUCCGGGGGUAGAGCACUGUUUCGGCUAGGGGGCCAUCCCGGCUUACCAACCCGAUGCAAACUGCGAAUACCGGAGAAUGUUAUCACGGGAGACACACGGCGGGUGCUAACGUCCGUCGUGAAGAGGGAAACAACCCAGACCGCCAGCUAAGGUCCCAAAGUCAUGGUUAAGUGGGAAACGAUGUGGGAAGGCCCAGACAGCCAGGAUGUUGGCUUAGAAGCAGCCAUCAUUUAAAGAAAGCGUAAUAGCUCACUGGUCGAGUCGGCCUGCGCGGAAGAUGUAACGGGGCUAAACCAUGCACCG
rnacentral:rRNA from 4 species